UACGGAGGGGGCUAGCGUUGUUCGGAAUUACUGGGCGUAAAGCGCACGUAGGCGGCUUUGCAAGUUAGAGGUGAAAGCCCGGGGCUCAACUCCGGAACUGCCUUUAAGACUGCAUCGCUAGAAUUGUGGAGAGGUAAGUGGAAUUCCGAGUGUAGAGGUGAAAUUCGUAGAUAUUCGGAAGAACACCAGUGGCGAAGGCGACUUACUGGGCACAUAUUGACGCUGAGGUGCGAAAGCGUGGGGAGCAAACAGG
rnacentral:rRNA from 1 species